rnacentral:rRNA from 1 species
CAAACGACUCUCGGCAACGGAUAUCUCGGCUCUCGCAUCGAUGGAGAAUGUAGAGAAAUGCGAUAUUUGGUGUGAAUUGCAGAAUCCCGUGAACCAUCGAGUCUUUGAACGCAAGUUGUGCCCAAAGCCAUUAGGCCAAGGGCACGUCUGCCUGGGUGUCACGC